CAGUCGAACGAAAAGAGGGAAAGAGCUUGCCCUUUCCGGAAUUGAGUGGCCCACUUGUGAGUAACACGUAAACAACCUGCCUUCAGGAUGGGGACAACAGACGGAAACGACUGCUAAUACCGAAUAAGUUCCAAGGGCCGCAUGGCCCAUGGAAGAAAAGGUGGCCUCUACCUGUAAGCUAUCGCCUGAAGAGGGGUUUGCGUCUGAUUAGCUGGUUGGAGGGGUAACGGCCCACCAAGGCGACGAUCAGCAGCCGGUCUGAGAGGAUGAACGGCCACACUGGAACUGAGACACGGUCCAGACUCCUACGGGAGGCAGCAGUGGGGAAUCUUCCGCAAUGGGCGAAAGCCUGACGGAGCAACGCCGCGUGAGUGAUGACGGCCUUCGGGUUGUAAAACUCUGUGAUCCGGGACGAAAAGGCAGAGUGCGAAGAACAAACUGCAUUGACGGUACCGGAAAAGCAAGCCACGGCUAACUACGUGCCAGCAGCCGCGGUAAUACGUAGGUGGCAAGCGUUGUCCGGAAUUAUUGGGCGUAAAGCGCGCGCAGGCGGCUUCCCAAAUCCCUCUUAAAAGUGCGGGGCUUAACCCCGUGAUGGGAAGGAAACUGGGAAGCUGGAGUAUCGGAGAGGAAAGUGGAAUUCCUAGUGUAGCGGUGAAAUGCGUAGAGAUUAGGAAGAACACCGGUGGCGAAGGCGACUUUCUGGACGAAAACUGACGCUGAGGCGCGAAAGCGUGGGGAGCAAACAGGAUUAGAUACCCUGGUAGUC
rnacentral:rRNA from 1 species